GCGAUACAGGGUGACAGCCCCGUACACAAAAAUGCACAUAUUGUGAGCUCGAUGAGUAGGGCGGGACACGUGGUAUCCUGUCUGAAUAUGGGGGGACCAUCCUCCAAGGCUAAAUACUCCUGACUGACCGAUAGUGAACCAGUACCGUGAGGGAAAGGCGAAAAGAACCCCGGCGAGGGGAGUGAAAAAGAACCUGAAACCGUGUACGUACAAGCAGUGGGAGCCUCUUAAUGGGGUGACUGCGUACCUUUUGUAUAAUGGGUCAGCGACUUAUAUUCUGUAGCAAGGUUAACCGAAUAGGGGAGCCGAAGGGAAACCGAGUCUUAACUGGGCGUUAAGUUGCAGGGUAUAGACCCGAAACCCGGUGAUCUAGCCAUGGGCAGGUUGAAGGUUGGGUAACACUAACUGGAGGACCGAACCGACUAAUGUUGAAAAAUUAGCGGAUGACUUGUGGCUGGGGGUGAAAGGCCAAUCAAACCGGGAGAUAGCUGGUUCUCCCCGAAAGCUAUUUAGGUAGCGCCUCGUGAAUUCAUCUCCGGGGGUAGAGCACUGUUUCGGCAAGGGGGUCAUCCCGACUUACCAACCCGAUGCAAACUGCGAAUACCGGAGAAUGUUAUCACGGGAGACACACGGCGGGUGCUAACGUCCGUCGUGAAGAGGGAAACAACCCAGACCGCCAGCUAAGGUCCCAAAGUCAUGGUUAAGUGGGAAACGAUGUGGGAAGGCC
rnacentral:rRNA from 1 species